rnacentral:tRNA from 1 species
UGUAGCUCAGUAGGCAGAGUGCUUGCUUGGCAUUUAUGAGGUCCUGGGUUCAAUCCCCAGCA